ACAGGGGAGGCUGAGUGCUCUGUAAGACUGAUGCCCCGGGGGAGCAACGUGUCAUUUUUUGUUGCCGCCCCCUACUGUCCCUGUCGUUUCAACCCGACUGAGAAUUCCUUGUCACGUCCUGUUCUGGGCCGUUGUCCGGUGCUCCUCACCCGCCAGCUGUGGCCCAGCUGCUACAUUCUCCAUGGAGGGGGGAGGGGGGGGGUGUCACGCACCUGGUGUGUGAGCUGAUCUCCCCCUUACCCCUGGCGCUAGAAAUCCAGCACGUCAAACUCAGGAGAAUUUAUUUACUCUCCUGGUGUUUUGCCUUCCUUGGAAUGUAAACGUCCCACAACCACACUGAAGGCAGGAUGAACAGUUGAAAGCUGACAAAACGCAAGACGUCACCUGAGCCCUGGGUUAGUUAGGUCUCGAAGUAAAGAAGAAGAAGAGGACGACGACGGAGAAGAAGG